rnacentral:misc_RNA from 1 species
UGUGAAUUUCCAUGCAAAGGAUGGGUCAGGCUAUCAGUUCUUAGGGGAGAUGGUGGUGCAACUAGACAAAAUUAAUCCUCGGGUUUGAUUCAAACAAAAGCAUCUCUAGAAUUGUGGCCUCCCGCAGGGUGUCAGCCUUCUCAAGAUGGAGGCGCUAUGAUGAAACCAGACAAACCCUUGCCAAGGCACAGCUGGAGAUGA